UAUCGGGAAGGGAUCGGCCCGCGUUGGAUUAGGUAGUUGGUGGGGUAAUGGCCUACCAAGCCGACGAUCCAUAGCUGGUUUGAGAGGAUGAUCAGCCACACUGGGACUGAGACACGGCCCAGACUCCUACGGGAGGCAGCAGUGGGGAAUCUUAGACAAUGGGGGAAACCCUGAUCUAGCCAUGCCGCGUGAUCGAUGAAGGCCUUAGGGUUGUAAAGAUCUUUCAGAUGGGAAGAUAAUGACGGUACCAUCAGAAGAAGCCCCGGCUAACUCCGUGCCAGCAGCCGCGGUAAUACGGAGGGGGCUAGCGUUAUUCGGAAUUACUGGGCGUAAAGCGCACGUAGGCGGAUCAGAAAGUCAGAGGUGAAAUCCCGGGGCUCAACCCCGGAACGGCCUUUGAAACUCCUGGUCUUGAGGUCGAGAGAGGUGAGUGGAAUUCCGAGUGUAGAGGUGAA
rnacentral:rRNA from 1 species